rnacentral:rRNA from 1 species
GACAAACGCUGGCGGCGUGCUUAAUACAUGCAAGUCGAACGGUUCCUCUUAGGAGGAAUAGUGGCGGACGGGUGAGUAACACGUAGGUAACCUGCCCUCUUGUGGGGAAUAACAGCUCGAAAGAGUUGCUAAUACCGCAUAAGCUCUUACAUGUGAGUGUAAGAGGAAACGCACCUCUUAGGAGGGGCGGCGAGUGGAGGGGCCGUGCGGCGGAUUAGCUAGAUGGUGGGGUAAAGGCCUACCAUGGCGACGAUCCGUAGCUGGUCUGAGAGGACGGCCAGCCACACUGGGACUGAGAC